ACGCUCGACACCUACGGGAGGCAGCAGUGGGGAAUAUUGCACAAUGGGGGAAACCCUGAUGCAGCGACGCCGCGUGAGUGAAGAAGUAUUUCGGUAUGUAAAGCUCUAUCAGCAGGGAAGAAAAUGACGGUACCUGACUAAGAAGCCCCGGCUAACUACGUGCCCGCAGCCGCGGUAAUCUGAGCGGGCUGGCAAGGC
rnacentral:rRNA from 1 species